rnacentral:tRNA from 1 species
GGGGUUGUAGCUUAGUGGUAGAGCACUUGCCUGGCAUGUGUGAGGCACUGGGUUCGAUUCUCAGCACCA